UAAAAGAUCUAGAAACAAACAGCUCCCGCCCCACAAUUGCCCUAAAAGUUCCGAUUUCCACAACUAUCCUAAUGUAGCUCAUACAAAACUUUGUAUAUUAACAAUAAAACAUCUUUCAUUCCAGAACAACAGAAAAGCACAUGAAAGAAACAUCCAUAUUCUGGAUUAACACACCAUGACCACCAGCCAAAGAACAGCUGGGCAUCCUCCCAAGACGACUGGGAUCUGCUUGCUUGGAAUGGACAGAAUUCAGAGGAAUGCUAUGCAAACACUGACAUCUUCCCUCUCGAUCUUUAUUUACAGUUACAAAAUUACAUGUUAUGAGGAAAUUACUCUGAUGGAGAAUUCAAAUGUAAAAUGAAGAAUUAAUAUUACUGCUUUGAAAUGUUUGGCAACAGGGUAAAAAACAUAUUUUAARCCAAAAGAAGCUUUCCUAACAUGGACAUGGCAGGCCCUCCAUCCCUAAGAGUACGCACUUACUUCUGAUUAAAGCAAACCCCAGUAUUCCAUGCACACAGCUGAUUGCAAAUGAGCUUUCUAUUUAUGGGCUGAAAAAAAAUACACUGCUCACACAGAAAGCUUUAGUCUUAAAUAAAAAAAAAAACCCUAAAAAUUCA
rnacentral:lncRNA from 1 species